UACGUAGGAUGCUAGCGUUGUCCGGAUUUACUGGGCGUAAAGCGCGCGCAGGCGGCACUGUAAGUAAGGUGUGAAAUCUCCCUGCUCAGCGGGGAGGGUGCACUUUAGACUGCAGAGCUAGAGGACGGUAGAGGGGGGUGGAAUUGCUGGUGUAGCGGUGAAAUGCGUAGAGAUCAGCAGGAACACCCGUGGCGAAGGCGGCCCCCUGGGCCGAACCUGACGCUGAGGCGCGAAGGCUAGGGGAGCGAACGGG
rnacentral:rRNA from 1 species